GAGGAGGUGGUGCGAAUGCGGCACGACGUCAAGCAUGUCUCUGGACGACAAACACUUCAGCUGACAGCUCUGUUGGAGGCCGAGCGACGCAGAGGACCCGUCAUGGCCGCCGGCACAAUCUCAAGUGAGGAUCUGAUCUGCGCCGUUGUGGGAGUGAACACAGACUGAGCACAAAAUGGUGAAAACGUGAAUCGUUCAGAGAAUAAUGGAAAAAAAUCUGUGCACCGGGAAGAGCUUCAGAAAAAUCCCAGACGUCCGCACUGCAGGUCCCCGGGACCAGCCGCGAGGCUCCCUCUCGUCACGGCGGACACCCGAGGAGCCGGCCAGCAGGAUUAGCUGUUGGCGUGCCUUUAGCAACAGCUAAUGGCGAGAUAGAAGUUAAGAGACAUUUUUCUGUGCCCAGCUCACACGAUGACUCUGGAAUCGUCUGUCAUAUUUUCUUAUUGCCCCCCCCCCACACACUUCACUUGAGGCACACUUUUCCACAUUUUCUCACCUACUUUCUUCACUCAUAUAAAAGAGCUAAAACUGUGAUUUUCACACUCUCUUCUCAGUUGGACUCACCAAAAGAGAUUUCUUUCUUUCACCGUUCCCCCACUGGUAUUACACGUCCAUCCCUCCCUGUCUCUUUUAGUCCAAUACAGGUGUGACCUAACCCCCACUUACAAUCCCCCCCCCCCCCCCAUCCAGAUGAAAGGCUUCCCACCGCUACCCUCAGUUCACCCCCACACGCCGCCCGAGGGGACAACUCGGAUAUCGGGUGGAGACGCAGGUUUCUGGGAGGGGAUCAAGUUCCCCUUCUUGAAACGUAAUAGUACAGCGUCACCCCAGGCUACAAUGGAUGGAAACAAUAAAUGACACAGUUGUCUUGCAUUCACACGUACAGUAAGAGGAGCCUCGUAGGCUUUUCAGCGAGACUAUUGUCACCGGUGAUGACUUAGAAUAAUUGAUAAGCUUUGCUUGUGAUCUUAACGCUUGAUUGAUUUGAUCUUAUAGUAAUUUCAUUGCCAAGUUGCUACUAUAUGCACUGGCGGAGUUAGAUGGGGGGGGGCAAAGGGGCACUGCCCCCCAGAAAUAUUGCUUGGACCCUCAAAGUGCCAGCCAGGCCAGAUAAUUGACGUUUUGGGUGUUGAACGGGAUACUGUACGUGAAAGCGAAUUUUAAAUGAGAUAUACUGUGCUUUUUUUUUUUUUUUCAUAAUUUGAAGCCAUUGCUAAAUGUUAUGACAACCUUUCUAUCUGUCAAAAUACAAUCAAGAAAUAUAUCACAAAUCUACAUCAUCGUUGGAUUUUGAUGAAGAAAUAUUUUAUUUUUCGGACAUCCCGCUACUUAGAUAUUCAUUCUCUAAAUGAUGUCAAUUUUUUGGGUACACCUUUCAAAUUGAAGUGCAAUUAAUGAUUACGAUUAAUCUCUGGUAUUAGCGUCGACCUCAGAUAAUGAGCAUUCAAAAUCCAUGACAUUAAAGCAUAAUCCCUCAAAUUGAGAAAUGUGACCAGAAUAUAACUUUAACAUGAGCAUUUUUUUUUUCUUUUUCAACAGCACCAUUAUGAUGAUGAGUCCGGGAGUUGCCUAAGCAACAAUAAUAAGUGAUGGUGUUAGUGGAGAUCCUACUGCGAGGUAUUAAAAUGUGCACGUCCCUCUGUCUGUUCCCACUUCCCCCGCGGUGUUUAUCCUCCUAGCCGCUAUGACAGGUCAGUUAAUAUUGACAUUAUCUCCCUCUGCCACAAUGACGGCUCAAGCUGCAGGAAGCCACUCAUUAACUGCGCCCCAGCAUGUACGGGGUGUGUGCUUCAGAGGUUCUGAGUGUGUGUGCGCACCUAGAGUCAUGUUGAUUACUAGGACGGAAAUCAUUAGCCAGGUCUAACAUGUGUUAAAGAGAUGAUGGACGGCUCAGAUGUUUAUCUCAGCGAGAAGAACAGAUUGGUGCCAUUGCUCACGGUGCUCGCUUUGGAGGUCGAAAAUUGAAGCGUAAAGGAUGAGUCGGGGGGGGGCAACAAAUUAGGAAAUUUGAAAGCGAGCAUUUAAAAAUAAUAUUCUGCUUUGGCGAAAGAUGGCUUUACCUGCAUUUUGCAGCAAAAGCAAAGUCAAGAAUUCAUUUUGAAGUUUCUCCAACUCAAGGUUUUUUUUAGUCCAAAAAAAAAUAAUAUAUAUAUAUAUAUAUAUAUUUUAUAUCCGACCAUUAGAAGUGGAAACACGAAAAAAUGGUUAAAUUAUGUGUUUGAAAAUUUUGGGUGGAUUUUUUUUUUUUUGGGGGUGAGCCACUCCGUGAUUGAGAGUAGAAAAUGUAGCAGUAAUUGCAGUGGCUACACAAGUAAUAGGAAGCUAAAUUGGCUUCGGAAUUAGACCCUGCCAGCUAUCAGCCCCGGGUGCUACGAAUGCAUGUGUGUGUGUGUGUCUGUGUGUGUGUGUAGUAUAUGCACAUAAUAUAUUAUAAAAUAAGACUGCAUUUUUAUUUAUUUUUGGCUAAUAUUUCUUUGCCAAUUAUUUUAUGUUGUAAACAAACCUAACCAAAGUCACUGUGUUUCCCUCCAUGUUCCUCCAUGUUCUUGUAUGUUCUUCUCGAGAUUUGCAGUUAAGGGUUCCAGGAUGAGAUAGCUAACGGCAGUCUGCCCAAACAAUUCGUAAGCGACUGCCCGGGGCCAAUCUCAGGAGACCUGCUAUGACUGUAUUGGGGUUAGGAACGUUCUGUUCAGUGAUGAGUACAGAUUCUGCCUCGGGCGAUUGAAUCGUAGGGUUAAAGUGUAGAGAGGACGCUAUGCAGAUUCAUCCACCAACAGAGUUCGAUCGAGGCACGAUGAGUUUGGGAUGGUAUCUCCCUCACUGGAAUAAGAAGCCUUAAUUGUCAUCAUUGGAGAUGUCAAUACAGAGUCUUCUGAGUUUGCUCAUGUGACCUCUGCAAGAUAAGCCCAGUGCAACAGUGAUGUCAAAAUGGCCGCCCCUUGAGAUGGAUCAAAACAGCUUGUUUACAGACACCGUUUGCUACGUAUUUUGAUCUUUUGCACUUUUGGAAUACAAUACCUAAGAAACUGCUGAGGUUUGAGAUCCAAGAAUGAAUAGCCAAAUAGCACGAUAGCUACUUUAUUGCAGAAAACAGCGCUUUGAGAGUCUAUAGUGUGAAAUGAACAUGUGCGUAAAAAGCAAUAGAUGAGGUGAAGGUGCUUAAAGUGAGUAUGUUGGGCACAGCUUGACAAGCGGGAAGACUAUUUGGCCAAUCAGGGGAUGGGAAGUCUAUCAGGAUUUAUAGGGAAAAUAAAAGAUAAGGUCACUGUGUUGUAAGCUUUAAUAUUAAUGUGCUAUUUAAUGACCCUUGCAGUGUUGGAAAGUAGCUUUUUGCGAAGAGUAAGAUACAGCUGCAGGCUUUUAUUUGAGGUGCUGCUGCUCCAGCGGUGUUUCACAAAAUCUGUUUUUGGUGGAUUACAUGAAUCUUUUUCAAAACAGGACAAGGAGAAUGAGACAGUCGUCGUGCUGCUCAUCUCAUGGUACGCCCUGUCUACAUCAUGAUGGUGCCCCUUGUGAUGAGGAGCAUAAUGCGUAAUCACGAAGCUAAUUACAACACACUCCAAAAAAGCACAUGAAAUCAUGUUUUUGGAGCGAGCAUCAUCACCAAGUCCUGAGAGACUCGAAGCUCAUUGGUGUCAACAUCAGUGGAAUGGAUCUUGAUUGCUUUAUUUCAGAUGGCGCCUUAUUUGGCUUUCAAACUAAACUACAGUGAUCCCUCGCUACUUCGCUUUUCGUUUAUCGCGGCUUCCCU